GAUGAACGCUGACAGAAUGCUUAACACAUGCAAGUCUACUUGAACUUCGGUUUGGGUGGCGGACGGGUGAGUAACGCGUAAAGAACUUGCCUCACAGUUAGGGACAACAUUUGGAAACGAAUGCUAAUACCUGAUAUUAUGAUUUUAGGGCAUCCUAGGAUUAUGAAAGCUAUAUGUGCUGUGAGAGAGCUUUGCGUCCCAUUAGCUAGUUGGAGAGGUAACGGCUCACCAAGGCGAUGAUGGGUAGCCGGCCUGAGAGGGUGAACGGCCACAAGGGGACUGAGACACGGCCCUUACUCCUACGGGAGGCAGCAGUGGGGAAUAUUGGACAAUGGACCAAAAGUCUGAUCCAGCAAUUCUGUGUGCACGAUGACGUUUUUCGGAAUGUAAAGUGCUUUCAGUUGGGAAGAAAAAAAUGACGGUACCAACAGUAGAAGUGACGGCUAAAUACGUGCCAGCAGCCGCGGUAAUACGUAUGUCACAAGCGUUAUCCGGAUUUAUUGGGCGUAAAGCGCGUCUAGGUGGUUAUGUAAGUCUGAUGUGAAAAUGCAGGGCUCAACUCUGUAUUGCGUUGGAAACUGCAUGACUAGAGUACUGGAGAGGUAAGCGGAACUACAAGUGUAGAGGUGAAAUUCGUAGAUAUUUGUAGGAAUGCCGAUGGGGAAGCCAGCUUACUGGACAGAUACUGACGCUAAAGCGCGAAAGCGUGGGUAGCAAACAGG
rnacentral:rRNA from 1 species